ACGUAGGGGGCAAGCGUUAUCCGGAAUUAUUGGGCGUAAAGAGUGCGUAGGUGGUUUUUUAAGCGUGAGGUGAAAGGCAAUAGCUUAACUAUUGUAAGCCUUGCGAACUGGAAGACUUGAGUGCAGGAGAGGAAAGUGGAAUUCCUAGUGUAGCGGUUAAAUGCGUAGAUAUGAGGAGGAACACCAAUGGCGAAGGCGACAUACAGGACUAUAACCGACACUGGGGCAGCAGACCGUGGAGAGCAAGGAG
rnacentral:rRNA from 1 species